AUACAUGCAAGUCGAGCGGACAGAUGGGAGCUUGCUCCCUGAUGUUAGCGGCGGACGGGUGAGUAACACGUGGGUAACCUGCCUGUAAGACUGGGAUAACUCCGGGAAACCGGGGCUAAUACCGGAUGCUUGUUUGAACCGCAUGGUUCAAGCAUAAAAGGUGGCUUCGGCUACCACUUACAGAUGGACCCGCGGCGCAUUAGCUAGUUGGUGAGGUAAUGGCUCACCAAGGCAACGAUGCGUAGCCGACCUGAGAGGGUGAUCGGCCACACUGGGACUGAGACACGGCCCAGACUCCUACGGGAGGCAGCAGUAGGGAAUCUUCCGCAAUGGACGAAAGUCUGACGGAGCAACGCCGCGUGAGUGAUGAAGGUUUUCGGAUCGUAAAGCUCUGUUGUUAGGGAAGAACAAGUACCGUUCGAAUAGGGCGGUACCUUGACGGUACCUAACCAGAAAGCCACGGCUAACUACGUGCCAGCAGCCGCGGUAAUACGUAUGUGGCAAGCGUUGUCCGGAAUUAUUGGGCGUAAAGGGCUCGCAGGCGGUUUCUUAAGUCUGAUGUGAAAGCCCCCGGCUCAACCGGGGAGGGUCAUUGGAAACUGGGGAACUUGAGUGCAGAAGAGGAGAGU
rnacentral:rRNA from 1 species